AUGCCUUUACCUUGUCCAUGAACUUCAUUCCUAGCACGACAUCGUAGUCAUCCAUCGAGAUCACGAAAAGUCAGCUACUCCCUUCCAAGUGGCAAUGUGUAGCUCCACACCACGAGCUACUCCAUCAAUGGGCUUGGCAGUUGAAUUCACCGUCUUCAUACUGCCUGCUUUCUUCGAGACUCGACACCCAAGUCACUUUGCUUCUUGCACGGACAUAAAGUUGUGUGAAGCACCUGUAUCCACCAGGCAACGGGUUGUCUUGCCAUUCACCA
rnacentral:lncRNA from 1 species